rnacentral:rRNA from 1 species
UACGAAGGGGGCUAGCGUUGCUCGGAAUCACUGGGCGUAAAGCGCACGUAGGCGGCUUUCUAAGUCAGGGGUGAAAUCCCGAGGCUUAACCUCGGAACUGCCUUUGAUACUGAUGACCUGGAGAUCGGGAGAGGUUGGUGGAAUUCCGAGUGUAGAGGUGAAAUUCGUAGAUGAUUCGGAGGAACACCAGAAGCGAAGGCGGCCAACUGCCCGAUACUGGACGCUGAGGCGCGAAAGCGUGGGGAGCAAAGCAGG